GCGGAGGUGGAGCGGAGAAAGUUUCGGAAGGUUGAUGACAAUUACAAGAAGGCGAUUCCAGUGGAUGACGAGUCUACUGCUACUGGUGCAACUGAUAGCUUAUCAUCUCGUGGAGCUCAACCGUCUAUGCCUCCUUCGCAAUCACCUUUUGCUUUACAAUUUUGCAGCAAGUUG